ensembl:snoRNA small nucleolar RNA, H/ACA box 21
CUCCCUUUUAAAAGCACUCAGUGGGCCUUUUUACUGAUGACCCAUUGAGCCGUCAAGAAGGGACAGAGUGAAAACACCGCUUUUGGGUGAAGUGGCAGCAUGUGCUGUUUACUUCAAUCGGUGGUGUGACAAGG